CCGAAGUACAGGCCCUCUCGUAGGGCUAAACUUCCACCCUUUGUUAACUACACUUUGUUGCUUUGGCGAGACGCCCUCGGGCCACCGGCUUUGGCUGGUGAGCGCUCGCCAGAGAAAACCCAAACCCAAACCUUUUUAGUAUUGUCUGAGAAACAAGUUUAAAUUAUUA
rnacentral:misc_RNA from 1 species